CACAUGUGACUGCAGUUUAUACUGUUAUUAGGGCUUGACUGUUUGAAGUUUGUCUCACCCACAAAAUUCAAUUCACAAAAAAACUCAGUGAUAUUGAGAUCAAAGUGACCAUGGACAACAUGUCUGAAAUCCAGAUAGCUGAUCAAAUCAUUCCAGAAUCUGAUCUUCUAAACAACUCUGAAAAUAGCGUAUACAUUGGAAACAUUGACACCAGCUCAACAGAGG
rnacentral:lncRNA from 1 species